AAAAUGCGGAACCUUUCUCGCACCGGUAGUACACUGCCGGACCUUUUAGCCACGCGCAGCGCGCACACGUCCUGUAUUUGAAUUAAACGGCUCAAGCAUGGCCUGAAUGCCUGUUACCACCUGACGCUUCCACCGGCACCUGCGGCUAAGUGACGAAACCCAAAACAGAAAGGUAUGAUAUCAUAAUGGAUGUUGUUUUUGUCUUCUAAUAACUGUGACUAUCCCACCCAUGACUAUCUAUUUUGCGAAGUUUAGAAGCAAGGUAGAUCGGAGGAGAACAUAGUAAACUGUUAGAAUUGCUAUAUGCUAUGCUGUAUUUGAUAACUACGUUGCGAGAUUGUGUACAGUGUUUUAAUAUAAUCUCUCUCUAGUCUCUACACGUAUUUGUUUUUGCAACUUCGGAUCGAUUUUCGAUCUAGUUAUUUGCUGUUAACUGCUAUUGUUGCCAGAACGUGUUAUGAUUGUGUCAGGUAUAUACAGUAUUUAUGCUGCAUUUUGGAUAAGUGUCAUUAAAGAGGGAAAAAUAAUAAUGAAGAGGAAGAAAUCAGACAUAGCGUCCUUCUUCAAGUGGAAAGAAGUCAGCUAAGGCAAAGAAUGAGGGUGAGAUGGAGAAAAAAAAGGCAGAGAGCAAGGAUGAGGAGCCCCCAGAGAGCAGCAAUUUAAAUGGACCUCCAGGUAUACAGUAGCUAUAGAGACUCACAUAUAGUACAGCUUGGUAUGAGGUUAUCUUAUUUACAAUUGGCUUAAAGUUUGUCUAUUCAUAUGCAGGUCAGGUUGAAAGUGCAUUGUAAAAUAUAUCAGUUUGUUUUUUCAGUACAUUAAAGUAUGGCAUAUUUGUAUUUGCUACCCAGAGACACUUUCACUAAUAUUAUACUUAGUUUAUAGUGCGUUUGUUAAACACUAUAUAGCAUGCAUUAUAAGACCUUUAGGAAAAUUACCUGUACACCUUAUUGUAAUUAUUUUUGAUGUUUCUGAAAGAUUGAUCGAGAGCAGGACAGAAGAGUCCUCCCUGAGGAGUGGCCCCAGUGGAUCCCCAGAUUCCCACAGAAGAUUCAGACAGCGAGAGAGAGGAGCCUCCAACAACGAGUGGCGGCCCAAGGUACCUCCAGACAUUUCCAAAUCAAGAACCGAUAGAUCUUUAAGGACAGU
rnacentral:lncRNA from 1 species